AUUGAACGCUGGCGGCAUGCCUUACACAUGCAAGUCGAACGGUAACAGGUCUUCGGAUGCUGACGAGUGGCGAACGGGUGAGUAAUACAUCGGAACGUGCCUAGUAGUGGGGGAUAACUACUCGAAAGAGUGGCUAACACCGCAUGAGAUCUACGGAUGAAAGCAGGGGAUCGCAAGACCUUGUGCUACUAGAGCGGCCGAUGGCAGAUUAGGCAGUUGGUGGGAUAAAAGCUUACCAAGCCGACGAUCUGUAGCUGGUCUGAGAGGACGAUCAGCCACACUGGGACUGAGACACGGCCCAGACUCCUACGGGAGGCAGCAGUGGGGAAUUUUGGACAAUGGGCGAAAGCCUGAUCCAGCAGUGCCGCGUGCAGGAUGAAGGCCUUCGGGUUGUAAACUGCUUUUGUACGGAACGAAAAGCCCUGGGUUAAUACCCUGGGGUCAUGACGGUACCGUAAGAAUAAGCACCGGCUAACUACGUGCCAGCCGCCGCGGUAA
rnacentral:rRNA from 1 species